GAUGAACGCUGGCGGCGUGCCUAAUACAUGCAAGUCGAGCGAACAGACGAGGAGCUUGCUCCUCUGACGUUAGCGGCGGACGGGUGAGUAACACGUGGAUAACCUACCUAUAAGACUGGGAUAACUUCGGGAAACCGGAGCUAAUACCGGAUAAUAUAUUGAACCGCAUGGUUCAAUAGUGAAAGACGGUUUUGCUGUCACUUAUAGAUGGAUCCGCGCCGCAUUAGCUAGUUGGUAAGGUAACGGCUUACCAAGGCGACGAUGCGUAGCCGACCUGAGAGGGUGAUCGGCCACACUGGAACUGAGACACGGUCCAGACUCCUACGGGAGGCAGCAGUAGGGAAUCUUCCGCAAUGGGCGAAAGCUUGACGGAGCAACGCCGCGUGUGUGAUGAAGGUCUUCGGACCGUAAGACUCUGUUAUUAGGGAAGAACAAAUGUGUAAGUAACUAUGCACGUCUUGACGGUACCUAAUCAGAAAGCCACGGCUAACUACGUG
rnacentral:rRNA from 1 species